AUGGAGCAGCUUCGCGCCGCCGCCCGUCUGCAGAUUGUUCUGGGCCACCUCGGCCGCCCCUCGGCCGGGGCUGUGUAGCUCAUCCCACUUCAGGGACUAUUUCCUCUGCCAGUUUCCAUCCUCAACAAUUCCGUAUACUCUGGAUAAUAACGUUCUAACCCUGGAACAGAGAAAAUUUUAUGAAGAAAAUGGGUUUCUAGUAAUCAAAAAUCUUGUACCUGAUGCCGAUAUUCAACGCUUUCGAAUGAGUUUGAAAAAAUCUGCAGAAAGGAGGUGAAACCAUUAGGAUUAACAGUAAUGAGAGAUGUGACCAUUUCGAAAUCCGAAUAUGCUCCAAGUGAGAAGAUGAUCACGAAGGUCCAGGAUUUCCAGGAAGAUAAGGAGCUCUUCAGAUACUGCACUCUCCCCGAAUUCUGAAAUAUGUGGAGUGCUUCACUGGACCUAAUAUUAUGGCCAUGCACACAAUGUUGAUAAACAAACCUCCAGAUUCUGCAAGAAGACGUCCCGUCACCCCCUGCACCAGGACCUGCACUAUUUCCCCUUCAGGCCCAGCGAUCUCAUCGUUUGCGCCUGGACGGCGAUGGAGCACAUCAGCCGGAACAACGGCUGUCUGGUUGUGCUCCCAGGCACACACAAGGGCUCCCUGAAGCCCCACGAUUACCCCAAGUGGGAGGGGGAGUUAACAAAAUGUUCCACGGGAUCCAGGACUACGAGGAAAACAAGGCCCGGGUGCACCUGGUGAUGGAGAAGGGCGACACUGUUUUCUUCCAUCCUUUGCUCAUCCACGGAUCUGGUCAGAAUAAAACCCAGGGAUUCCGGAAGCAAUUUCCUGCCAUUUCGCCAGUGCCGAUUGCCACUACAUUGACGUGAAGGGCACCAGUCAAGAAAACAUCGAGAAGGAAGUUGUAGGAAUAGCACAUAAAUUCUUUGGAGCUGAAAAUAGCGUGAACUUGAAGAUAUUUGGAUGUUUCGAGCUCGACUUGUGAAAGGAGAAAGAACCAAUCU
rnacentral:lncRNA from 1 species